rnacentral:lncRNA from 1 species
CGGCCGACCUCAUGAAAAAUAUGAACAGCAUCAAAAAUAUGUCAAUAUCCAAUGAAGGCCAGCAACUUAGCUUACACAAAUUAUCACCCUAUGGACUUUCAUUAUAUAGGAAUCGACAUUCUUGGACCAUUUCCAUAGACAAUCAAUCAAAAAAAAAAUUUAAUCAUCGUAAUCUACUAUUUCAUCAAGUGGGUGAAGCUGAGUC